CAGUGGUUAUGUAUGGUUGGCUGGUGCGCCGUUCGUUCGUGUUGUAUGUGUGCUUAUACGUGAAUACGUUGAGUCUUCUACACUGCAGGUGUUGAGCUCGUCUUCAGUUGUCCUCUAGACAAGGUGCGGCCAGAAGACACUGCAUAGGACACCACAAUCGACAGGUGAGCGGUUCAUGAUCUGCCAAAGAUAGUGAGUCUGGCAACGGGACGAAUUAAUGUAAG
rnacentral:lncRNA from 1 species